rnacentral:lncRNA from 1 species
AAAGGGAGAUAAGAUCAAAUUAUUUUUGAUCUAAUUGGGGGAUAUCAUUACUCCUUAAAUAGAGGUGACCAACAGCUGAAAAAAAAGAAAAAGUGAAGAAAAACAGAGGAAGAUACGGCAGCAGAGGAGCGUAACAUUCGAGCAAAGAAGAAGUUCAAAUUUAACUAGCCAAAACCGAUCAAGCAGCUGUAGCAGCAGUCCAAGAUUUCAGCUAAUCGGGAGAAGGGAAGCUCGACGAUUUUAGGAAUUUUCUUCUCCAAGAUUCAGUCUAUAAUUUAUGUUGUUUACAGUUGAUUUUUUUUUCAUUUCGAUUGCUAUGAGUGGUUAAAUUAAUUAAGCUCAGUUAGACACUUAUGAAACUAGCACAAGGAAAUUGUAGGUUUAUUUUGUUUAAAUUCGGAUUUAGCAUUCUUGAGUUGCUAAUUUUAUCGUUCAAGGAAUGUUUUCUAAAUUAAUUAGAUUGAUCGCCUAUCUAAUUUAGGACUUUUCUCACAAUCAUCUAAGUGAAAUUGAGUAAUCGAAUUUCUUAAUUAAACUUAGAAUCAGUGAUAAUGAAUUAGCAUGCCGCUAAUUAACUCAACUUCGGAUUUAAUUUUGGAAGCCGCUGGAGGAUUUUCUUUAAUUAACGCAAGGUGAAAUCUCUAAAAUAAUUAGUGCACUUUUAAUUAAAAAUUAAAGGUAGGUAUUCAAGUAUGAAUGUUCUCUAUUUGAAUUUGAAUUUACUUGGGAUAAGAAUUCAUUUCGUAAGUGAUUUUCUUCAGCCUUGUUGCUAGAUUAGACUAUUAAAAUAAUUAAAUAACGCUAAGGACUUGUGCUAGGUGGAUUAAGGAGUACUAACUGAGCACUCUUUCUCUUAAUUUGACAACCUUUCAGCAUUUACAAUUUACGUUACAUUUUAUUUGUUACCAAAGAGCAUUAUUAGAAACCCCCCCAUUUUUCCUUUCUCGCAUAUGUUUAUACUAACUUGAUUUCAAUUCUUUUCAAAUAGGUUUAACACGAGCUUCUUCGUGGGACGAUUUCGUACUCACUCUAUAUUACCAGUUAAUAUUGGUUGAGAAGGGGAUUAAAUUCGGUGGACGUAACGACAACUACCAAUCAGCUAUGUCGCGACACCCAAGGCAGUAUAACAAUUCUGUCAUUUUGCUCCCUAUAUUGUGACAUCAAAUUCCCCAUAUUGCAACAAAGCGACC